CUUGAUGUGUAAUUUCUUCCCUUUAAUUAGUAAGUAAGUACUGAUGGAUUCUCCAAAUCCCUUCCAUAAUUAAUUCCUUGAUCAACACAGCAUAUUUGUUCCUUAAAAUAUUCCAUGUUAUCUCCUUCCUAUAAAAUAUUUUCUUCCUAUACUUUGAAUAUAAUUUUUCCAAACUGCUUCUCUUUCACAAUCUUUUACUAUAGUAUGCUUUUAUAACAUAGCCAUUAGAUUUGGACUUUCCUUCUUUAUAACAUCUUCCAUAUCUCCUUCAUUCUUCUGCAAAUCUUCUAUAUGUCGUCUUUGAUCAUUCUUGUUUUAGCAAACAUGUACAAAAAUAAUUUGCCACAAGUAAAUAUUAUUUUACUAAAAGUUAUGCUGGUUUGGUAUCAUCAAAAUCAAUAUGUGAAACCUUGGGGAUAACAAUCUCCCAUUUUUAUUGAUGGCAAACCAUUGAGUACAAAACAUGAAGAUUGCAUCAAAAACUUAAUUAAAGUGCAUCUAAAGUAAUAAGCUAGAUAGACUAGUUACUUUCCUGAAAUGUCCCGCUUAUAUCGAUCUUACUCUUCCAUGGAAGGUAAAUGCUCCCCCUUACUCUAAGGGUUCCAUAGUCAUGCUCCCCUGCCUUCAUGCAUUUUAUCUAUAACAUGUGCAAGGAAAGUUUUGUACCGUAUAUUUUCUCCCCCUUUUGUCAUCAUCAAAAGGGAGUAACAAAUUCUAAAUACAUGAACCUAAGGAUAUAAAAGUCAAGCGACCAAUAUAAUUCGCUAUAUAUUUUUCCUUUCCAAGUAUCCAAUCAAUGAGAGUGCUUAGGAAUCACAUAAACUGGAAGUAGAAAAUAGUGAUUUUAAAGCAAUUAAAAAGCUUUAGAAAAGUUUUAUCAUACGACAAUUCUGGCAAAUAUUCAAUAUGAAAACUCACAGCAAAAAAAACAUAUUUAAAGCGCCAUCGAUUCACAAUAGGUGCACAGCAUAUAAUCACUUCAAAAAUGACUGGAGGACUUUAUAUCAAUUUGAGUAUAACAUCAGUGAGAAUUGUAGUAAAAUACUUUCAACCAUGCUAGAUCACAAGAAUAAUAGAAAACGAUAUUUGAAUUGAUUCAAAAAUAUCUGUAGCUUUCUAGAACCUUAGGUAGAUUGCAAGAUAUACUUGGAAACACACAAAUACUAAGCACAUAGAACCAAGAUGAUCAUUUUUACCAUGAAAGGAUACAAGAAAUAUCAUUAGUAAUACCAAUUUCUUCCCUCAUAUGAGGAAAUAUUUUCUCAUGGAGAUGUAUCCACCUUCCGCUAUAGAUGGGGCUGAAGAGAUUUGUUUUCAUUGCGCAAAUAAACUUUCAAAACAAGUGACAUAAACCAUUUUUGCUUUUGUUGUCCACAACUUUUAUCCUUGUCCAAAAUUUUGUGACUAUUGAAUUCUUCCCACCAAAUCUUUUGAAUUGCCCCUUUGUGCAUUUGGCUUAGUUAAUGACAUUUUCUUCCUUGGCAUGGAGCUUGAAGAAGAAUGUUAAUUCUCCCUCAUGCUCAUCUCGAAUUCAGCCACCUAGCAAAAUUUUAUAGAAUUCUUGAUCCACCUUUAUAUCAGUACUUCGAAAUAUAAUAUCGUCAAUACAAAUUGUACAACUUUAAAAAUAUAAUUACAUGUUUUUUAAAAAUUAUUUUUGGGAAGAGAAAUAAAACUUCUUGGUCACAUGAAUACUGUUUAAAAACUCUCAACAUUGAUGCUUAAAAAAAAUAUUCUUCAAUUAUAAAAUCAUUUCAAACAUAUCAAAAAUAUUUAAAAGCUUUGUAAGAUGACCAUAAAGAUAUCAUAUAACAAUAAUCUCAAUGAAGAAACAAACCUUUUUUGUUGUGAAACCUUGGGCUAUAAGUUUACCCUUGUUAUUCACGACCUUACCAUUUUCAUCAUGCUCAUUUCUGAAUGUCAAUGAUAGUAGCUCACUUGGCUUGGUAAUAAAAUUCACACACUUCAAUUCAUUCAAAUUCUUUCAGCUUGAACUCAUUAUGCUUAGCACAAAUAUUCCUUAUCCAGCUUAUGCAAAUGUGUCCUUAUUGGCUUAUUGCUUGUUCUCGGAAUAUGCUCUUUAUCCUUAUUCACAAAAUUGCUUAAAGAGAUAUUAGUAAACAGAAUCAUGUAGAGACAACUUUAUAAUUAUUAGUCCAAAUACUGAAGAAUUAUUAGUAGUGAAAUGCUAAAAUGAUAUCAUGAAUCUUACCGAUUCCUUACCAUGGUGGGGGUAAGCAUUUGCAACUGAAAAGAUAGAAAUAAUCAACCCUUGAUUUUUCUUCCUUCUAUAUCUCACAUAAGGUGUCCUCUAAUAUAGAUCCAGAAUAUAAAUCAUUUAAAGUGAAUAAUAGAAAUAUAUACCUUUCGUCUUCAAGCUU
rnacentral:lncRNA from 1 species